UAGGGAAUAUUGCAGAAUGGGCGAAAGCCCGAUGCAGCAACGCCGCGUGGGCGAUGAAGGCCUUCGGGUCGUAAAGCCCUUUUUGAGGGGAUGAGGAAGGACAGUACCCUCAGAAUAAGCCUCGGCUAACUACGUGCCAGCAGCCGCGGUAAAACGUAGGAGGCGAGCGUUAUCCGGAUUUACUGGGCGUAAAGCGCGUGCAGGCGGAUUGGAGAGUUGGAUGUGAAAGCUCCCGGCUUAACUGGGAGAGGUCGUUCAAUACUUCCAGUCUUGAGUGCAGUAGAGGGAAGUGGAAUUCCGGGUGUAGUGGUGAAAUGCGUAGAUAUCCGGAGGAACACCAGUGGCGAAAGCGGCUUCCUGGACUGUAACUGACGCUCAGACGCGAAAGCUAGGGUAGCAAACG
rnacentral:rRNA from 1 species